rnacentral:rRNA from 1 species
CCUACGGGAGGCAGCAGUGAGGAAUAUUGGUCAAUGGACGAGAGUCUGAACCAGCCAAGUAGCGUGAAGGAUGACUGCCCUAUGGGUUGUAAACUUCUUUUAUAUGGGAAUAAAACGUUCCACGUGUGGGCUUUUGUAUGUACCAUAUGAAUAAGGAUCGGCUAACUCCGUGCCAGCAGCCGCGGUAAUACGGAGGAUCCGAGCGUUAUCCGGAUUUAUUGGGUUUAAAGGGAGCGUAGGUGGAUUGUUAAGUCAGUUGUGAAAGUUUGCGGCUCAACCGUAAAAUUGCAGUUGAAACUGGCAGUCUUGAGUACAGUAGAGGUGGGCGGAAUUCGUGGUGUAGCGGUGAAAUGCUUAGAUAUCACGAAGAACCCCGAUUGCGAAGGCAGCUCACUGGACUGCAACUGACACUGAGGCUCGAAAGUGUGGGUAUCAAACAGGAUUAGAUACCCUGGUAGUC